UGGGGAAUUUUGGACAAUGGGCGAAAGCCUGAUCCAGCAAUGCCGCGUGUGUGAAGAAGGCCUUCGGGUUGUAAAGCACUUUUGUCCGGAAAGAAAUCCUUGGCUCUAAUACAGUCGGGGGAUGACGGUACCGGAAGAAUAAGCACCGGCUAACUACGUGCCAGCAGCCGCGGUAAUACGUAGGGUGCAAGCGUUAAUCGGAAUUACUGGGCGUAAAGCGUGCGCAGGCGGUUUGCUAAGACCGAUGUGAAAUCCCCGGGCUCAACCUGGGAACUGCAUUGGUGACUGGCAGGCUAGAGUAUGGCAGAGGGGGGUAGAAUUCCACGUGUAGCAGUGAAAUGCGUAGAGAUGUGGAGGAAUACCGAUGGCGAAGGCAGCCCCCUGGGGCCAACACUGACGCUCAUGCACGAAAGCGUGGGGAGCAAACAGGAUUAGAUACCCUGGUAGUCCACGCCCUAAACGAUGUCAACUAGUUGUUGGGGAUUCAUUUCCUUAGUAAACGUAGCUAACGCGUGAAGUUGACCGCCUGGGGAGUACGGUCGCAAGAUUAAAACUCAAAGGAAUUGACGGGGUC
rnacentral:rRNA from 1 species